rnacentral:rRNA from 1 species
ACGCUGAGGUACGAAAGCCUGGGGAGCGAACAGGAUUAGAUACCCUGGUAGUUCACGCCGUUAACGUUGAUCACUAGUUGUUUGCGAUACAUUGUGAGCGACUGAACAAAAGCAUUAAGUGAUCCACCUGGGGAGUACGUUGGCAACGAUGAAACUCAAAGGAAUUGACGGGGGCCCGCACAAGCGGAGGAACAUGUGGUUUAAUUCGAUGAUACGCGAGGAACCUUACCUGGGCUUAAAUGUAAGACGACUAACAGGGAAACUUGUUAUCUUUCGAGCGUCCUACAAGGUGCUGCAUGGUUGUCGUCAGCUCGUGCCGUGAGGUGUCGGGUUAAGUCCCAUAACGAGCGCAACCCUUAUCGUUAGUUGCCAGCGGGUAAUGCCGGGGACUCUAGCGAAACUGCCAUCGUAAGAUGUGAGGAAGGUGGGGAUGACGUCAAAUCAGCACGGCCCUUAUGUCCAGGGCUACACACGUGUUACAAUGGUCGAAACAAAGGGCAGCUACUUGGUGACAAGAUGCUAAUCUCUAAAAUCGAUCUCAGUUCGGAUCGAAGUCUGCAAUUCGACUUCGUGAAGUUGGAUUCGCUAGUAAUCGCGCAUCAGCAAUGGCGCGGUGAAUACGUUCCCGGGCCUUGUACACACCGCCCGUCAAGCCAUGGAAGCUGGGGGUACC